UGCGGAAAAGCGCGUCUAGAUUGGCAUGGACGCUUUUCCACAAAAAGUGCUUUUGCAGAAAAGUGUCCGUGCCAAUCUAGACGCUCUUUUCCGCAAAU
rnacentral:pre_miRNA from 1 species